rnacentral:lncRNA from 1 species
AAGAUUGACUCCUUCUAGUUUUAAUCCUAUGUAGCUAUGCUAAACUAGAGAUCUAUUGAUGUGGUGGCUCUAGGGCUUGAACAGAGGCUUCUUCUUCCGGGAUGGAUAAAUGAAUUAGGGUUUCAGAUUGCUCUCCUCCAGGGGCCAGGGGGUCUGCUUAUAUAGUCCUUCCAAAUGAAUAUGGGUCGUCGGAUCAAACCGACAUUAAUCGCACUGUUAUAACAGUUAUGUCUAAACUUGAGAGAGAACUCAAAUUUGAAAAUUAGACAAAGCAACUAUUCAUCAUAUCCAUGCUAGAGUUUUAUUAUUAAGAUUCAGUUUAGCAUAGCCACUUUAUUUAUUUAUUUAUUAAGUACACAAAAUAUUUAUUUGGUUUUUCAUGGUUUUGUAUAUUUUUAUUUUAAUAUAGUAUAAGUAUAUAGAUAGAUAGAAAUACUUAGCGGGAUAACUGGGGGUGCUCUCCCCUAAGCUGGAUUUUGACGUAAUUUCUUCUGAUGUAGCUAGCAGGUGGUGGAGGUGUAUUUGAAAGUCGGCAGCAUCCUGACAGCGAUUAGAAUGCCCUCCAUCUGCUAAUCUUCUUGAUUCUUGAAUUCUGUGGAGCUCAAAUAGACAACAAAGCUUUGUUGAACUGAUUAGGUGUUAGCAUAAAUAUCUAGCCUUUAUCAUGUUGAGCCUCCUCAAUAAAUACUACUUUAUUUGGUAGGAUCAUAAUCUUAUUUUUUUAUAUUUUCAUUUUUAUAGAGCAGAAAAAUAUUUAUUUUAUAUUUAUGACACCACAGUGAAUGUACUUAUGGGUUUUAUACCACUUGUAUACUCACAUGGGGCUUACUGGUUUUAACAUUUUUAUUUUUCUUUUUAGGAUAGUAUGAACAUGAUUAACAAAGCAAACUAUUUUAAAUAAUUGAAAGGAAAAGGAUAACUAUCAAGUUUACCUCUUGGCAAGACAUUCGGUGUUUUUAAGUCCUCCGAACGGGACUCUCCGUUUUCUCAGUCAUCCUGGGAUUUGUUGGAUGGCGUAAUCGGUGGUUCAGGCGGCGCCUCCUCUUCGUGUAUAACUAUCUUCUCUCUCCACACCUGACUCGGUGCUACGGUCUCCUUAGGACAAUUCUGUUCAAACUGUAUGUCUUCAGACCUUACCACUUCUCCUUCGUAGUCUGCCCAUCCGUCCUUGAUGAUUUGCCUCCUCUGGUUGCGGUUGCGUCAUCUUCUUAUUGUCCUGACCUGCUGAAAGCCCUAGUUUGGUUUUGGAUAAUUGAUGAAACCCUAGUACUAACCUCUAUGCUAAGUAUGUGUAGACUUAAUGAGGUUGGUCCAUGCCAAGUGAUGGAGCAAGUGAUGAUCAUGGUGAUGAUGGUGAUGACCACAAGAUGAUCAAGUGCUCAACUUGGAAAAGAAGAAAGAGAAAAACAAAACCCUAUGG